AUUGAACGCUGGCGGCAGGCCUAACACAUGCAAGUCGAACGAGUGGCGGACGGGUGAGUAAUGUCUGGGAAACUGCCUGAUGGAGGGGGAUAACUACUGGAAACGGUAGCUAAUACCGCAUACCAUCGGAUGUGCCCAGAUGGGAUUAGCUAGUAGGUGGGGUAAAGGCUCACCUAGGCGACGAUCCCUAGCUGGUCUGAGAGGAAGACAGGCCACACUGGAACUGAGCCCCGGUCCAGUCUACUACGGGAUGCUGCAGUGGGGACUAUUGCGCAAUGGGCGCAAGCCUGAUGCAGCAGUGCCGCGUUUAUGGAGAAGGCCUUCGGUUUGUAAAGUACUUUCAGCGGGGGGGCGUUACCCGCAGAAGAAGCACCGGCUAACUCCGUGCCAGCAGCCGCGGUAAUUC
rnacentral:rRNA from 1 species